rnacentral:rRNA from 1 species
UACGUAGGGUGCAAGCGUUAAUCGGAAUUACUGGGCGUAAAGCGUGCGCAGGCGGUUAUGUAAGACAGUUGUGAAAUCCCCGGGCUCAACCUGGGAACUGCAUCUGUGACUGCAUAGCUAGAGUACGGUAGAGGGGGAUGGAAUUCCGCGUGUAGCAGUGAAAUGCGUAGAUAUGCGGAGGAACACCGAUGGCGAAGGCAAUCCCCUGGACCUGUACUGACGCUCAUGCACGAAAGCGUGGGGAGCAAACGAGGAUUAGAA